rnacentral:tRNA from 1 species
GAGCGCGUAGCUCAAUCGGUAGAGCACGACACUUUUAAUGUUGGGGCUCCGGGUUCGAGUCCCGGCGCGCUCACCA